AUUGAACGCUGGCGGCAGGCUUAACACAUGCAAGUCGAGCGGAGAUGAGGUGCUUGCACCUUAUCUUAGCGGCGGACGGGUGAGUAAUGCUUAGGAAUCUGCCUAUUAGUGGGGGACAACAUUCCGAAAGGAAUGCUAAUACCGCAUACGUCCUACGGGAGAAAGCAGGGGAUCUUCGGACCUUGCGCUAAUAGAUGAGCCUAAGUCGGAUUAGCUAGUUGGUGGGGUAAAGGCCUACCAAGGCGACGAUCUGUAGCGGGUCUGAGAGGAUGAUCAGCCACACUGGAACUGAGACACGGCCCAGAAUCCUACGGGAGGCAGCAGUGGGGAUUAUUGGACAUUGGGGGGAACCCUGAUCCAGCCAUGCCGCGUGUGUGACGAAGGCCUUAUGGUUGUAAAGCACUUUAAGCGAGGAGGAGGCUACUGAGACUAAUACUCUUGGAUAGUGGACGUUACUCGCAGAAUAAGCACCGGCUAACUCUGUGCCAGCCGCCGCGGUAA
rnacentral:rRNA from 1 species